GAACCAGAGUUAAUAUCGGCACUGCUUUCCAUCGGUGGAGACAGCUGAUGGACUUGAAAGAAAUGAAGUUCGACUCCGAACUUGCAACAUUUCUUCUGGAUUGGUAUGAAGGACCACUGUCAUCCACUCCGAUGAAAAAACGGCCAGUACUGUCAGAUCUCACUCUAACGAGCAUCGGGUCAAGUGAUUCUGAUAAGGGAGUGUGCCUGGCUUGUCUCAAGUCCUACUUUGCCCAUGUUUCCUCACAGGCAUGUUUUACUGUGAACUAGAUUCAUUAGUCAUUAUCAUGACUAAUUGAAAAGUUCACAUUUCUGCCACAGACCGUAAUGUCACAUUACCUUUUUAUUCUUAGGUCCACUCAUUUUUUUUGUGUUCAACCUGUUACAGAGACAAGCAUACCUCAGAAAAGCCCAGCAAGGGCUCGGCAGGUGUGGAAGAAUUGGCCAGGCUUGAGUGCAGGAUUGACUGGGCAGUUAACCCUCCACCUGUAAAGGCAUCAGAUACUGAUGAUGAGGAGCAGGACAGCUCUGAUGAAGAGUACAUCCCUCCACUUUCUCUUCGGUAAGUUUCCUAAUGUCUCUUGUACUGCAACUUAUUACUACCAUCAGGUCACAAAUGUAUAGCUGCACAAUUCUUGGCUCACCAUCUCAGCUACACUCUGGUAUUCUGUUCACCUUAUUCUGACACAUGCAUUUUUAAUUUUUUUUUACUUCCUUGUAUGUGUAUAAACUUCCGUUAUGACACUUGCCUUCAUACACAUCCAUUCUAUUUUCAUGAAAUGUGAAGGCAAAACUCCUCACACUAACCAUUGAAACACAGGUUUUACUGAUGAAAACAGCCUGGUUGUUCUGGUGACCUACUCUACAAACCUGUUUGAUUAUGGAGGCACAACUUUAUAAAAAGACAACAUGUCAGUGUCAUGUCAGCCCCCCUGU